UUCGGUGGUCAUAGCGAGGCGGGAAACACCCAGUAUCCAUUCCGAACCUGGUAGUUAAGCCCCUCAGCGCCGAUGGUACUGCACUGGAGACGGUGUGGGAGAGCAGGACGCCGCCGAAC
rnacentral:rRNA from 1 species